rnacentral:rRNA from 1 species
GAUGAACGCUGGCGGCGUGCCUAAUACAUGCAAGUAGAACGCUGAAGCUUGGUGCUUGCACCGAGCGGAUGAGUUGCGAACGGGUGAGUAACGCGUAGGUAACCUGCCUGGUAGCGGGGGAUAACUAUUGGAAACGAUAGCUAAUACCGCAUAACAGUAGAUAUUGCAUGAUAUCUGCUUGAAAGGUGCAAAUGCAUCACUACCAGAUGGACCUGCGUUGUAUUAGCUAGUUGGUGAGGUAACGGCUCACCAAGGCGACGAUACAUAGCCGACCUGAGAGGGUGAUCGGCCACACUGGGACUGAGACACGGCCCAGACUCCUACGGGAGGCAGCAGUAGGGAAUCUUCGGCAAUGGGGGGAACCCUGACCGAGCAACGCCGCGUGAGUGAAGAAGGUUUUCGGAUCGUAAAGCUCUGUUGUAAGAGAAGAACGAGUGUGAGAGUGGAAAGUUCACAAUGUGACGGUAUCUUACCAGAAAGGGACGGCUAACUACGUG